UUGACAUUUACCUAGGCACAGCUCACAGGCAUGAUAAUGACUCUCAUAUGUGGACCCCACAAGUAGGAGUAAUUUUGACUCUUGUAACUUGCUUUAGAAACAUAAGUGAUGUCUUAGAUCUCUUUCUGGCGAAAAGGUCACAGAAGAUUAUAACAGCCUCAGAUAAUUUGCAGCCCUUGGCUUGUACAGAGAGUGUCAGAACAGAACCCAGCAGAAAGGAGAAAUUGUGAGUCUCAUAUGUACACCCAGCUGACUGUAAGGACUGUCACCAUCUUACAUACAUGAAGCCAACUGUCACACAUGAAAAGAGGACAUGUGUGGUAUUGUAAAUCUCAUCUCGAAUAUUCUCUCAGUGUGACUGUGAUAUAAAUCUUUGCCAAGCAUCUGUGUGAUUUGACUCUCCAAACUGGUUCCAGCCCAUAUAUACGGGAUUGUGAUCUCUACCUGGGCCAACCUCUAGAUAAUGUGACUCUCCUGCCUGGGCCCUUCUCUCAGUAAGGGUUGUGACAUAUCACUGGAUCUAACACCCAAGUGAUGUUACAUUCUUGCCUGGACCAUGCACAGAGACAUCAUUGUGACAUAUCACUGUGUCCACCACUUAGGUGAUGUAACUCUCCUCUCUGGAAUGGACCCUGAAUACGGAGUGGUAGUGACAUCUUCCUAGGCCAGACACACAGGUGUUGGUACUCUUUUUCCAGGGCUAUGUUUCAAGGAGGGCAUUGUGACAUAUCUCUGGACCUAUCACCGAGGUGAUAUGAUUCAACGCUUGGGCCUCACCGACGUAGAACAUUGUGACAUAAAAGUUAAACCUGCACCAAAGGUGUUGUAACUCUUUCACCUUGGUCCUGUCCUAAGGGAGCCCUGCAACAUAUCUCAGGACCCAGCACUCAGGAACAUUGUGACAUCGUUGGACAUAGCAUCUAGGAAAUGUGACUCUUCUCUCCUGCCUAGGUCCUGCCCACUAAAGGAAUUGUGACAUACCACUGAGUGCAAAACCUAGCCCUGUCUACAGUGGACAUGGUACCACAUGACUUGAGGCUGUAUCCAGGUGAUGUGACUCUUCUGACUUGGCCCUGCCUGCAAAGGAAAUUAUAAUAUAUCCUGAGCUCAGAAUCCAGGCGAUGAGACUCUCCUGCCUCUUUUCUGCCCACAAGUGAAAUUGUGACUUAUACCUGCGUUCAGCUCACAUGCACAAAUAUAACUAUUAUACCUGGACCCAGAAAGGAGAGAUAUUUGGACUCUUAUAGCCAGUCCUAUGGCCAUAAGUAAAGUAAAGGGUCCCCUGUUUGUAUAAAGCUCACAGAGGAUUAUGACACUCAGGCACAUCAUAUAAAGCCUGAGUGGUACAAAGAGUGUCAUAGCAGGGAACAGCAACCAGGUGCGAUUGUGACUCUUGGAUGCUCACCCAGCUGACCCGAUUGUCAUUCUCUCACAAGAACAGGGCCUACAUACAAGGCCAUGACCAUAGAUGAAAUUUUGACAUACGUGGACCAUACACCUAAGCGAAGGUGCCUGGGCCUGCCUACAAAGGGCACUUUUACGUAUUACUAGGACCAGCACGCAGGAAGCUUUGUAACCUAGGUGAUGUUUCUCCACUUUUGCCUGGGCCUUGACCACAGGGAAGAUUUUGACACAUUGCUGGGCCCAGCACCAAUGUGAGGUCACCCUCCUGCCUCAGUACUGCACAUAAGGGCCAUUGUGACAUAUAUCUAGACCAAUUGCCUAGGUGAUAUUGCACCAUAAACCUGAGACCAGUAUUCAUGCCUGAAGCCAGGACAUGUUCAGAAUGGUGACUCUCAUCUCUGGGCCUUUCCACAGGUGUUUUUGUGACAUAUACCUUUGCCCAGCUCCUGAGUGAUUUAAUAACUCUUCUUAGGUCUAGCACACACAUGAGAUUUUGACAUAUACCAGGGCCAGGCUCCUUAGUGAUUUGACUCUCUUGUUUUAACAGUGUCCUCAGCGGGGGAUUGUAGCAUACCUUUAUACCCAGCAUCUAGGUUACAUGAUUCUCCUCUCCUGCCUGAACCCUGCUUCCUGUGGAGAUUGUAGCAUUUCUAAGCACUGCUUCCAAAUGAUAUGACUUUCUUACCU
rnacentral:lncRNA from 1 species